GGCAGAGGUAGAGGGGGAGGCUGGGUAGGCUGAGCCCAAGGGUGAGGACUGGGGCUUAGCAUCAUGGAGAAGGCAUUUGUGGGACCCAGUCGGGCUUCUAUUUCACAAAGAUAGGAACCCUACAGGACACAUGUCACAAGGGGCAGGGGCCAGUGAACCAGGCCUAAUCACAUUUGCUCCUCUCUGCCACUGAAGUACCUUUCUCACAGGGUUUCAAGAGAGUAUGAGGUCUGUUGUUUGCCUCUGCCCAGUUACUUGGAGCACGCCACCUAGCAGGGACCCAAUGCUACCUGUUGAAGGAAGACAUCGGCUACCUGCCCUCUCAGCAGGAAGGAGCUGAAGACAGUGAGAGUUAAGAGUUUAUCUGGCCAUGUAGGGUAACCAGAUGGCAAACUGGAAGAUUCAAAAAAGAGGAAAUAUCUGCGGCUGGCAAAUAGACAGGAAAAUUCACACUUUGCUAAACCUGCUGUGACUUGGGGUGGCAUUUCAGGAGGGCAGCUUACAGUGUGAACUACAUGCUCCUCAUGACUCCGUUUCUAGGGUUUCGCUCUAAGGACACGGUGGAGGAUUUGUUCAAUCACACUGGCAUUGUUAUGGGCUGUGCUCAGCCAGGGACAAUAUUGAUUCUAGGGCUAGGGGGACUGCAGACUACAGAGUAGGCACUGUCAGUAGAAUGUGGCUGGAAAUGGACUCCUAACAACAUGGGGAGAGGUUUGUAGUAUAGCUGCCAGGGAACAACAGGCUGCCAGGUAGCACAGGGAUAUCUGACAUGCGCGGGGGUGGAAGACAGACGUAUUUCCACAUAGUAUGCGCCAUGUGUUUCCUUCACUCUCCAGACACUCUUUCAAGUAAGGUAGCACUGGGUCUAGAGCAGUGGAGCUGACCAUCAAGCUGCGACAGGGAUGUUAAACACACAGUUCUCUGGGAGCUCUAGACUGUUUACACAUGUGAGAUUGGAGAGUUGAACCUGCAGGGGCAGAGGAGUGGCUCCCGAG
rnacentral:lncRNA from 1 species